UUAUCAAGGGGUGCCCGUUGAAGUGCGGGCUGAGAACAGACCCUUCAGACCUGAUGCGGGUAGUGCCGACGUAGGGAUGAUAAGU
rnacentral:ncRNA from 1 species